GUUGGAGAAUAUACUUGAGAGAUCAAGAAUGAAUUUAUAAGUAUAUGUAUGAUUUAUUUUGUGAUUAUUAUAUCUAGAACAAAAUUAGUUCUUCGCUAAAUAUAAUUGAACAAAAUUUGAAAAGGUGCAGAAGAAGAUUUCGGUGUAGAAGGGUAAAGGAAGGUUGGAAUGGAAUUUGGUGGGUGGAAAGGGCAAGGGAAAUAGAGAGCGAGUGUGUGCGUGUGUGAGAGAGAUGGACCUGCUGGAAUUGGAGGCGGUGGAAGGGCUCCGGUGGACGUGGAAUUCGUGGGCGGCGGAGGGGACGAAUCUGGUGAUCCCUCUGAGCAUAAUGUGUAGUCCAUUGAUGGUGAGUGAGGUCCCUAUCCUCCCAUACCACCCUCUUCUCUGUUCGCGAUGCGCCGCCGUUUUGAACCCCUACGCACGCCUCGACUACCAGUCCCGCAUCUGGCACUGCCCCUUCUGCUUCCUCCGCAACCCCUUUCCCCGCCCCAUCGCCGACACCAACCUCCCUGCCGAACUCUUCCCCACCUACAGCACUGUCGAGUACUCUCCUUCUCCCCCCUCCUCCUCUCCCCCNCCCCCNCCCCCCNCCUNCGUCUUUCUCAUCGAUCUUUCCUCCCCCGACGACCAACUGCUCUCCCUCAAGAAGGACCUCCUCCUCCUCCUCCACCACCACUUUCCCGAUCACGCCCUCGUCGCUCUCCUCACCUUCGAUUCCAUGGUCUAUCUCCACCAUCUCGCCUCUUCCCCCUGUUCCUCCCUCCACCUCUUUCACGGCAGCCGCCAUCUCUCCUCCAAUCAGAUCCGCCAGUUCCUCAACAUCAGCCGCCCCCACCCGCUGCAUCACGGACACACCCCAAAACAGGAUUUUCUGUUGCCAUUUUCCGAAUGUGAAUUCUCCAUCACUUCUGCAAUUGAAGACAUCCAUUCCACAUUCGACUCCACCUCCGCCACUCGCCCUCCAAGAUGCACCGGCACUGCCAUUUCCGUCGCCCUCGGACUUCUAGAGUCUUGCCUUGUCACCACAGGCUCCAGGAUCAUGCUCUUCACCUCCGGACCUGCCACUAUCGGACCCGGAAUCGUUGUUGAUUCUGAUCUCCGCCAACCCAUCAGAACCCACCAUCACAUCUUCAACAGCCAAGCCAGACACCACGCCAACUCUUGCUCUUUCUAUAACCAACUCUCCAAGAGGCUAUCUGAUGCGUCUGUUAUUCUUGAUCUCUUUGCCUGUUCGCUCGACCAAGUUGGGGCUGCCGAGCUUCGACAACCUGUUGAGCAGUCUGGUGGAUUCAUGAUUCUCUCCGAAUCUUUCGAAUCCGAUCAGUUCAAGAAAUGUCUCGGGCAUAUGUUCAAGUCUGACAACCAGGGCCAUUUGAAGAUGAACUUUGAUGCCACUAUUGAGAUAGUUACCACCAAAGAUGUCCAAAUCUGUGGAGCACUUGGCCCUUGCGUGUCUCUGCAUAGAAAGAACAGUUUGGUGAGUGACGCUGAGGUUGGACAAGGUGGCACCUCUUUGUGGAAGUUAAACACUCUUACCCACAAAACUUGCAUUGCUUUUUUCUUCCAAGUGAAUCAGCGGCAAAGAAUUCAACCCGGCUCCGCAUUUUUGAUUCAGUUUAUCACGCGGUACAGGCAGGGGAACAUGGGAUGCCGGAAAAGAGUGACAACUGCUGCUAGACGAUGGGUUGCAAACCAUUCUGCUGAUAUUGCUGCUGGAUUUGAUCAAGAAGCCGCCGCUGCAGUUAUGGCAAGACUUGCCAUUCUACGUGCACAGGAAUGCCAUCCCCGUGAUGUUAUUAGAUGGCUGGAUGACACGCUCAUACGUUUUACUUCUAAGUUUGGGGACUAUGUGCCGGAAGACCCAUCUUCCUUCCGCCUAUCCUCCAACUUUUCGCUCUAUCCCCAGUUUAUGUUUCACUUGAGGCGAUCUCAAUUCAUUGAUGUCUGUAACACUACUCCUGAUGAGACUGCUUUUUUUCGGCUCAUGCUGAACCGCGAGGGAGUUGUAGGAUCGCUUAUAAUGAUUCAACCUACGCUUUUCCAAUAUUCGUUUGAUGGUCCACCUGUUCCAGUACUGCUGGAUAUUCGUUCUGUUUCUCCGGAUUUUAUCUUGCUCUUUGAUUCUUUCUUCUAUGUGGUGAUUCAUCACGGGUCCAAGAUCGCUCAGUGGAGGAAGCUGGGUUAUGAUAAGGACCCCAAUCAUGAGAACUUCAGAAAGCUGUUGGAAGCCCCGGAACUGGAUGCAGAGCAAUUGGUGGCCGACAGGGUUCCAGUGCCAAGGAUUAUAAGAUGUGACCAGCAUAGUAGCCAGGCUAGAUUUCUUCUCGCCAAGUUGAAUCCAUCUGUUACUCAAAAUUCAACCUACACAGAUGGAUCAGAUAUUAUAUUUACUGAUGAAAUGAGCUUGGAAGUUUUUCUAGAUCAGUUGCAGGUGCUGGCAGUGCAAAGCUAGUAAAUCAGAAUACUAAUUUGGAUUAUUCUCUUUAUUAUUGACAUGUGAAAGAGUUUUUGAAAUUUGGACAAUAUGCUUGCCAGGGUUCAUUGUUCAAACAUAUAGAGCUUCUUCAUUUAUCGCUUCACUGGAAGGUGAUCUUUAUAUGGUUUUGGUCAACUGGUUGACGAGGUUUGCAAAAACAAAUUAUGCACCCGAUACUCAUACGCUGGGUAACAAAUCCUUAAUUGUAUAUACCCUUGGCACAUACAAAUUUUCUUUAGAAAGCUGCAGUGACAAACUCUGUACUGAAGUUGAUUAUUACAUAUGUUAAUCAAUUUCAGAAUACUGUAUGAGGUAUAUCCAGAUUGACAACAUCAAAAUGGAAUACUCGGUUAAUUACA